GCCUCGCCGCUGCCUCCACUGCCGCCCAGAGACUGCCGAGCCCGGGUCCGUCUGCUACCACCCUCUCCAGACACAAAAUAUCCAGUCAUGGAUAAAAAUGAACUGGUUCAGAAGGCCAAACUGGCGGAGCAGGCUGAGCGAUACGAUGACUUGGCAGCCUGCGUGAAGUCCAUAACAGAGCAAGGAGCUGAAUUGCCCCAUGAGGAAAGGAAUCUGCUCUCGGUUGCCUAUAAAGAUGUGGUAGGAGCCCGUAGGUCAUCUCGGAGGGUUGUCUCAAGAAUUGAGCAAAAGACGGAAGGUGCUGAGAAAAAACAGCCAAUGGCUCAAGAAUACAGAGAAAAAAUUGAGACCGAGCUGAGAGAUAUCUGCAAUGAUGUGCUGUCUCUUUUGGAAAAGUUCUUGAUCCCCAGUGCUUCCCAAGCAGAGAGCAAAGUCUUCUACUUGAAAAUGAAAGAAGACGACUACUGUUGCUUGGCCGAGAUUGCAUCUGGUGACGACAAGAAAGGGAUUGCGGAGCAGUCACAAGCAUACCAAGAAGUUUUUGAAAUCAGCAAAAAGGAAAUGCAGCCAACACAUCCUAUCAGAUUGGGUCUGGCCCUUAACUUCUGAACUCCCCAGAGAAAGCCUACUCUCUUGCAAAGACAACUUUCAAUGAAACCAUUGCUGGACUUGACACAUUAAGUGAAGUCAUACAAAGACAACACUUUUAAUAAUGCAAUUACUGAAGGACAACUUGGCAUUGUGGACAUCGGAUACCCAAGGAGAUGAAGCUGAAGCGGGAGACGGAGCGGAGAAUUAACCCACCUUCCAACUUUUGUUGGUCUCAUUCUAAAAUUUACACAGUAGACAAUUUGUCAUCCAUGUUGUCCCACAAAUAGUUUUUUGUUUAUGAUUUAUGGCAAGUUUAUGUUACCUCCAUUUGAAUUUCUAUAUUUCCCAUGUGAUUUUUAUGUUUAAUAUUAGGGUAAUAGAGUCAGUUAAUAUUUAGCGAGUUAUAUUUUCACCUUGAGGUGGCCAAUUUGGGAAUGUGGAAUUUUUAUACAGGUUAUAAAUAUUUGGCAUAGUACUUUUGGUACAUUGUAGCUUCACAAGGGCCAGUGUUAAAGCUACUUCCAUGUCUUAGCAAAGAAAACUGCCUACAUAUUGUUUUUUCCUGGUGGGGAAUAAAAGGAAUAAUUGGUUCUGGUCACAGGUGUAAUAAUUGUGGGUACUUGAAGGUUUGGAGCACUUAAAGGCUGUGGUGGAAACCGAUGUCUUGUGGAUACCACAUAUUAAACCACGUGUGUCUGUGGAAUACUAAGUCUCCAUGUGCACAUCUUUGACUACAGCAGCAGGAGUGGACCAUUAGACAAAAGUUGUGGCCCAAUUUACUCUGAAUAAAGGCAGAAAUGGUUCACAUUUCCUUAUUUGUAAAGUUACCUGCUGUUUGCUUUCAUUAUUUUUGCUACACUCAUUUUUAUUUGUAUUUAAAUGUUUUAGGCAACCUAAGAACAAAUGUA